AUUGAACGCUGGCGGCAGGCUUAACACAUGCAAGUAGAGCGAGCGGCGGACGGGUGAGUAAUGUCUGGGAAACUGCCUGAUGGAGGGGGAUAACUACUGGAAACGGUAGCUAAUACCGCAUACCAUCAGAUGUGCCCAGAUGGGAUUAGCUAGUGGGUGGGGUAAUGUCUCACCUAGGCGACGAUCCCUAGCUGGUCUGAGAGGAUGACCGGCAACACUGGACCUGAGACACGGUCCGGACUCCUACGGUAGGAAGCAGUGGGGAAUAUUGCACAAUGGGGGAAAUCCUGAUGCGGCCAUGCCGCGUGUGUGAAGAAGGCCUUCGGGUUGAAAAGCACUUUCAGCGAGGAGGCGUUACUCGCAGAGGAAGCACCGGCUAACUCCGUGCCAGCAGCCGCGGUAAUAC
rnacentral:rRNA from 1 species